UCACAUACUCCCCCCGUUCAAGCUCUGACGUCCUCGUCAGGCUAAGGGUUCUCCUAAAUCUGAAGCUUGUACUUCUUCAAUUAAUAUCAACCCUCUAUUUGAAAGAACUUGAGGUUGUCAAGUGACUUUGAUGAAUAUUCCACUAGGGGUGGAUUAGAGUUAUUUAUGACCUAAUCUUGUGAUAGAUCGAUUAAUCAAGAGUAGUUGAUAUUUUGACAAAGAAACUUGAUGUUCUUAUUCAAAAUUAAGACGUUGAUUUUUAUUUAUGAGAGAGAGAAGUUUGAUUUACAUCAUCUAUAAAAGAACCAAAUCUGGAGGUAUUGGACCUUAUUCUUAUGAUAAGAUGAAAUUAUAUUGAUAAGUAGAACUAUUGGAAGACUGAGGUUAGUCUUCUAGUAGAGAAGAAUGUUGUUGGUUCUAUGAAUAAUCUGAAGGUAGCUAUGUAAUUUUCAUCAGUGGGGUUUUCUAUUGUUGACAAUUCUUGGGAGAAUCUUGGGCAUCUUAAAUUUAGUAUUAACGAAUUGAUGGUUACUUGGUUGGACUUAGAUCUGGAAAGUUUUAACAUGGAUCUCCUAUUCCUAAUUCUAACAUUGUUAAUCUGGCUAUUUGAAAGGGCUUGAGGUUUUAUAAGACAAAGGUUGAUCAUUAUAUCAUGGAAAAAAAAUGAGGAGCAUUUGAUACUAAAGCUUUCUCCUACUUACAUUUAACCGAUUAAAUUUCUAUGUAGAAUUAAUCAGGAGCAAUUAAUUUCUUGAAAAAAAAAAAAGAAAAGAAUUAUGACAUGUUAAUCCAAGGCUGGAAGGUUAGUCUUAUUUUGAAAGAGAUCAAAAGAACUUGCUAUGAAUCAUAGAUGGAAAGGAUUCAGUUUUAAGAUGCCAUAAUUUUGCAAAAAUCUUGUGAGCCUGCAUUUCGAGAUGGGGAUUGUUUAGGAGCUCGAGAAUGAUAUGAUGUUUCCAUAUUUUCAUAAUUUGAAACUUUAAGUGAGUUAAUUUCGAGGACGAAAUUAUUUUAAGGGGGGAAGAAUGUGAAACCCAAGCUUUGAACCGAACUGGGCCCGGUCCACUUGACCGGCCCAGCCACCAGUUCCGGCCUCACGUGCGUUGCACGUGAGGGCACACAGUGAGGAGGUGGAGGGGAUCCAUCCCGAAGAAGCCGGGAUCCCCUGUUUUAGGGCAUUCUCCUCCUCCCCUUUGAGACCAUUCGAGGUAGAGCCGCCACACCCGAGUUCUUCCUCCUCAGGCUGCCGGCAGAGAGAGCGAAAGAGAGAGGGAGAUAGAGGGCUUUGGGUCUUCUUCGGUACGAGGGGUCUUCUUCUUCCUUACCGCCGGAGAGGAAGAAAGCCGCCGGACUUUCGUCGGGGCUGAGGUUCUGCGAGGGAUUUGCGGAAUUAAUUGGAUUUGUUGUGGAUCGCGUUCGCAAGAUUUCGAGAACUAGUCUAUUGGGGAUUCAAAUUGGGAGAGCGAUUAGAAGGAUUGUGGCACAAGUUAUCUUAGAUUAGGGUUAUUUAAGUUGAUUUGUUAUUAUGGACAUUUAUUAUGAUUGGUGGACUUUUAUUAUUUUAAGAACUAGGUUUCUGCAUGUUGGUAAAUGAUUAUUCCGCUGCAUAUUUAGACUUGUGAGACAUUAUGACUUGAGUUAGUCAAUGGAAUAAGAUUUCAAUUUAUUCUGUUAAA